GCUGCUGGAGAGGCUGUUGCUGGCCGAGGUGGAUUUGGUGGGGAAGAGGCACCGGAGAAGGCUGGCCUGAUAGUCGAUGCUGCGGAAGGCCUUCCGAAGAGAUGGUGAAGCCUGCCGGGGGAGAGGAAGGAGGAGAGGACUCGCCCGGGUGGCAGAUGCAGGCAUUCACUACAUGUUCACCAGUGUCCUUCAAAAAAGUGGCUUAAAAGAUACUAACAGAAGAAUUUUCUGACUCCGCCCAGAAAGUAGAGGCAUAUGUGAGGUGAUGCUGUACAGGUCUUUGAGCACUGCCUAGCAUGGAAGAAAUCAAGAUAAGAUGAAGAUUCUGUUGUUAAGAGUAUCAUUGGACCAGUUAGAGGGGAACUUACCUAGCCUUGAUGAGGCUACACUCCCUGUGAAGGAUUGUGUCCUUAGCUUGGGAUACUCACGGACCCAGCACUCUCUGUGGAGGCUCAACUAUCGACCAUGGCCAGGAAUACCUUUUAUCGACUCCAGUGGUUGUCCACUUGUGCCCCUACCUGGAUAAGAAAUGCUUAGUAACAGUUUUUUGUGCAUUAGUAAUCUCCAAAGUAGACUACUGUGGUGCUCGCUAUGUACGGCUGCCCUUGAAAACAGAAUGGAAACUUCAGCAUGAGAAGGAACUAACUACGGCCCUCAGAAAGUACAGUGAGCCAUCUCGAUCAUCUGCUACACAUUGCUCCCAAUGAUGGCUCAUUUAGGAUUACAGGAACAAAAGAGUGGGAAAGGCAAAGAGGAGAAGAACAGGAAAGUAACAGCUGAGACAAAUUCCCCAAUAGCUGAAGGAUACAUGAUGGAGGUAGAGGAAAGGAUAAAAGGGGAAUGAUUGAGGGAAAAAAAGGUAGAGCAGACAGAGCAAGAAAAAGAGAUAGAAUAAGAAAAUAUUGAUAGGAUGGGGAUGACUGGAGACGGAGGACCCCGGACUAGGGAAAGGGUCAAGAUGAAGCUACCCUGUGAAGAGAUAGAGCAGAGACAGUAGUAUCGCCUGGUUAGCCAGCCAGCCAGACCCCAAAAGGGCUAAAAUGGAAUCCCAGAGAAGAGAGAAAGAAGGGGCUGAGCCUAUAGAAUGGACCAUUUAUAUGUACCCCAAAAAGGGAGACCUUUGGAAGAAGGAAAUGUGGCUGGUACUGGUCAGCCAACCCACUGAAAGGGAAUGGGCACAACAGCCAUGUUGUGGGACUAUUUCCCCCAGGCUACAGAACCCGAUGUGGAAACUGAUGGAUUGUGGGUAAUUUGGGGUGAACCCACAAUGGUGAACUCUUGUGUCACACUGGAGUUGAAAGACUGUUGGCCUAGAAAAGCCCUGUUGGAUGGUCCUGCUGGACUUACUGAGGUUAUUGUUCAUGAUGCUUUGUUGUUGUUAAUAAAUUGUUUGUGCACCAAAAUUAAUCUUUGCCACUUCUGGAGGUUAAAACCAAGGAAC